AUGUCACUGAUGAGGAAUCAUCGUCCGUCUGCGUUAGAAUCAGCCGAGCGUUCCCCAUUUAAAGAUCUGACAAAUACACCUACUAAUGAGACUGCGAAUCAAGCGAGUGAAAAACCAAAAAGUGGAACAAAUUGGUAUGCACGGAUGUCCGAUGAGAAGAGAGCAGAGUACAACCAGAAGCGGCAUAUGGCCCAAGCCGACAAAAAGGCUGCAUCUGCCAUUGGUAUUGACCAUGAGGAAGUCUCUGAACCACAUGCUCCUUCGUUGCUGGAUGUGCUACGAACCCCUUUGAGCAACAUAUCCAACUCAAACGUACAAGCCGGUGAAAAAGCAAAAAGCGGUAAAAAUUGGUAUGCACGAUUGUCCGAUGAGAAGAGAGCGGAGUACAACCAGAAGCGACGUAUGGCCCGAGCAGACAACAAGGCUGCAUCUGUCCUUACUAUUGGACAUGAGGAAUUCUCUCGAACACAUGCUUCUUCAUCGCUGGAUGUGCUACGAACCCCUUUGAGCAACAUAACCGCUGCAACCUCGGCUGAUACCGACCAUCAAUUUGGAGAUGCAGCUCUUGGACGCAGAAAACGAAGCUCUGACGAGGAGAUAGCAGAGCACUGCAAGAAGCUCCGGAUCGCUCGACUAGAAAAGCGAGCUGCAACCACUAGCGUCCAAGUAACACCUGGUACUGCUCAUAGUGGAUCAUCUAUGCAGACAGAUGGUCAGAUUGAUUGGCUGCACACGAAUCCCACUUAUGAACGACAACAGAUGAAUGUUCAUGAGGUAGUGGACAUGUCUGUAUCUGAAGGGAGACAUAGGCAAGAAAGUUUUCUGCCCGGAAGUAACUCACUUCGCUCUGUUCAAGUGACUGAGGUAUCUUCUGCCAAGAAACGGCAUCGCAUGAGAGAACAAUAUCAUGGAAUGACGCCAGAAGAAAAAGAAGUUGUGUUGCAGAGGAAACACGCGUAUAAGAUGGGAAAACGCCAUCCAUGGUCUGAACAGUCCAACCUUGCUGAGCCAGCAUGUGGAUCUGCAGCCCCCUAG
rnacentral:rRNA from 1 species